UGGGGUGUAGCUUAGUUGGCAGAGCGCCUGACUGUUAAUCAGGAGGUCGCUGGUUCGAAUCCAGCCGCCCCAG
rnacentral:tRNA from 2 species